rnacentral:lncRNA from 1 species
AUUUGUAGAUGAAAAUGUCAUUGGAAUGACAGAAGCAUCAGAGUCACAUUUGGUAGUGGCAGCACUCAUAGCAACAGUAACCUUUGCCGCAGCAUUCACCUUACCCGGUGGCUACAAGAGUGAUAAUGAAGACGGCCGAAACAGAGGCACUGCAAUUCUCACUAAAAAUGCAGCAUUUCAAGCAUUCGUCGUAUCAGACGCCAUAGCCAUGGUCCUCUCACUUUCUGCUGUCUUUGUCCAUUUCAUUCUGUCACUUAAGUUAUUUCGAAAGUUUAUCUGUUUAUUCGUUUUUGCUCUUUUGCUCACCUUGGUUGCCAUGCUAGCAAUGGUGGUAGCAUUUAUUACAGGCACAUACGUGGUGUUGUCACCUUCUUUAGGGCUUGCCAUUGUCACUUGUUUCAUUGGCUUGACCUUCUUCCUCUUGGUGAUUUUUGAUGUUUUACAAGGCUCUAAAAAAUUUGGAUAAUGAAGAUUAGACACAUAGUUGCAGUAAGAGUACUACGCUUAGUUUAUACAUCCUGCUAUUGUGAUCAGGAGUUGUAAGUUGUGACUUUGAAAAUUAUUACCGUAUCGAUCUUAUGAGUUUGGUCUGUUAUGUACUAGCUAGUUUCCUAAUUGAUAUUUGGAUAUUUCCAACUGUGAUUUGGAUAACCAUCAAUUACAGAACUUGUAGCACAUUCUAAUUUGGAAAUGUCUACUUACUGGAUAAAGAAUAGAGCUGUUAAAUUGAUAGUUUAAAAGUGAUAACAAUUUUUUUUUUCAAUUAUAUGAACUAUGAUAGUUUUAUAUCAUUAAUUUAUUUAUAUUACAUUAGUUUGUAUAUAAAUAAAAUAGUUGUGGCUCUAUCAUCAAACAAAAAUUACAGUGGCAAAAAUAUGAACUAUUGUAUUUAAUUAAUGUUUCACAAAAUUAAAAGUUAGGAAAAUAUUUUGAGUUUAAUUGUUUAAAAUUCAAUUUGCCAUUAAUCAAAUUGUUUUUUCUUUCUUUUUGUUGUUACACCCGUGUGGCUGGAAAAAAAUCGUACUUGGAUCUUUUGGCUUCUGUUUCAGGUUCGGACUCGGAUUCCGGAUUUCCUAGUCGGGAGGAGAGGUUGGGUAAAAAUUCUCCCGGUGCCAAACAGAGGAGUUGAAGUCAAGAAUUAAAUUGAUGACAAGUGAAGUUUGCUUGGAAAGCUCUUGGGAAAAGUGGAGUUUCGAGAAUGUCUACUAACUGCAUCACUAAUAGAGCUGCAGCCAGACAUAAGUCGAGAAAGUUCAUGCAUACAUGCCAAAUUGCUGGGGAAUGUUGUAAUGGCAAUUCUCAUUUCUCAGCAGGGUUAGAGGAUCAAGGGAACAGAGGGCCGCCUCCGUGUUAAGGCCUAGGCUUGCUGUGAUUUAUCAUCGCGGGCUCACACUUCACACACAACUUCAUACAAGUAAGAUAUAUGCUCUCGACUUACCCACACUUCAUGAAGACCGCAUGCUUCAUUCAGCACCUUGUGUGCAAUCCCCUCCAAGAUCUCCCUCCCGAAAAUUUUGAAGGUGAUGCCACUAGAGACAACAGGAAAGAGCACUUCCUCUGUACAAUCCCCCGUUGUUUCUUUAAGCAACAGAGCACAUAGACAUAGGGAAACAAGUUGGUGGUCGUGGUGAGUGGCAGGUUGAGUGGGUCAAUAUAUAUAACCUAACAUUUAGGUAGUGGAACUCAAAUGGGCAAUCAUAAUUUAGACUGGUAACAAUCUAAUUCAUGCAAAUAUGUCCGCAUAAAAAGUAAAGAUUAUAUAAAUCUCUUCGACUGGAAUGUUCGGUGAAAGAAAGCUCUAAAGCAAUAAAACAAUCCCCUGCAAGGUAGCCUUUACCGUUGCAUACAAAGAUCUUUGAGAGCCUCAAAAAAUGUGUCAAGGGGCGAUUUAAUAAAGUUGCUGGUCGGGAUAAAAGACACUGCUUCUCACCCCAUGCUAAAUUGAUUAAGCAUAAGAUUUCCACAUCUAUGCAAAAUAAUAACCAUGUCAUCCCACCGCUCAACGUCAAAAGCUCCUCAAGGUUGUAAACAUGGAUCAUGGUCAUCCGUAUGUAGCAUUUCCCUCAUAUACUAAAUUCUGUACAUCCAUUUUGCCACAGGAAAACCCAAUUUCUAUAACCAUCACGGUUUGCUCUAAAAGCCGCGAAUUAAUAGCUGUUGAAACUUGAAAGAGGGAAGUUCAUGCGUACAUGCCAAAUUGCUGGGGAAUAUUGCAAUGGCCAUUCUUAUUUCCCUCUCAGCAUGGUUAGAGAAUCGAAGGAGCAGAGGUUCCAAAAUUAUAUAUAAACCAAGAAAUUUGACUUAGAACUACUUUACUAUUUUCUCGAAGGACUAUAACAAAAAUUAAAUAAAUAAUCCCAGAAGUCUUCUUGAUUUCCGAGAAAUUCAACAUCAAUAUAGCUAGUGUUAAAAGUUAAAACUAGGGGUGGGCAAAAAAACUGUGGUCUUAAAAAUACCGAACCGAACCGGCGGUUUUUUCUAAUUCGGAUCGGUUUUUAUUUUUAAAAAAACCGAAAUAUAUCAUUUGUAAAAAAAACUGAAAUGUCGGUUCGGUAUUCGGUUCACUCAGCUGAACCGAAAAACCAAAUUAAUUUUAGAUUUUAUUCAAAUCAACAUGUGUUAAAUUUUUUUUUUAUAGAUCCAAAUAUUGAGUUGGAAAAUGCAUAAAGUUGAUGUUGAUAUUGAUGAAGAUGGGAGAAUAUUGUUGGCGUUUGUUUCUAAAUUUUCUUUUUAUUUUGUGUUGUAAGUUGUAAUUGUUGUUAUUUUUAUUUGUCUUUACAACAUUAUGAUUAUGUUUAUGUAGAUGGAGUAUUGGAGUUUGGUUAUGUAUUUUGAAAUUUUAAUAUUUUAUAUUUUGUGAGUACCUUAUUAGUAGUUAGUAAGAUAUUAGUAAUAAAAUGUGUUUUGAAUACUUUGUAUUUAUUGUUAAUAUUUGUAAUGAAAUUAUGAUGAACUAAUUGUUGAAAAAAAUUAUUACAUUUAUGAGGCCCAAUGGGCUAAAAAUUUAAAAAUUCAAAAUAGGCCUAAUAGGCCCAAAAUCGAAAAAACCGAACCGAACUGAACCAAUUUGAAAAGAUCCGUUUGAGUUCGGUUCUUAUUUGGUUCUUUUUAUAAAAUAACCGAUUUAAAUCGGUUCUAUUUAAUUUCGAUCCGAACCAAAUCGAACCGAACCGUGCCCACCCCUAGUUAAAACAAAUCUUACCAUUGGCGUAAAAUUCCAGCAUGAAUGCUUAAUUUACACAUUUCCUACUCUGAUCUCUCUUGAUACAAACAACACAACUCAAAACUUCAAUUCCUCUUCUAUGAAUAAAACUAGAUAUGAAAGCAUGAUGAUUUCAAAGUUUAAAACAUUCAAAAAUCAAAUACCUCUUUUCUUUCCCUUUUCUUUUUAGUGGGUUUAAAAAUUAGUACUAUGGCAAUGUGGGCUUAUUAAGUUAUUGGAUCAACUAAUGAGAUACAGUCAUAAUUACUUAAACAGAAAACCGGCAACGCCCUUGGUUAUUACGUACAGAAGGUAACGAAAUUCUUCUCUGCCACUUCCUGCCUUCAACAAUGGCUUCUCAAUGAUCUUUUGUUGUAAGUGCUGGCACAAAUAAAGGAUGUUGAUAAUUCAGCGAGAAAAUAAAUAAAUAAAUAAAAAGACGGUUGGCUGAUUUGAUGGUAUCGGUAAUAAAAUAGCGCUGGAUAGCUAGACUAGGCCGUUGACGCCAAAUACGGGAAAAAGAGAAAAAUGAUCGAAGACGAAAGAACAGGCAAACCUGGAAUUCUUGAUAUUUAUAAUUCCAGAUUUAGUCGAAUUAGUUGGCGUCCAGAUUCUUCACCAACCAUGGAGAAAAGUCAGAGAAAAUAAUUGUAAGUCUAUCAGUGGGGUCCAAACAAUGAAACAAUACUUCUACUCCACGCACUUUUUCUUGCCUUCACAUUUGUUUGUCUUUUUUUAGACUUGACCAUUUCGUGUUUAGGUUUUUCAAUUUUUUUUUAUACUUAUCAUAUUGUUUAUAUUUAUAUUAAUGCAUGUGUUUCUAUUCAUUUAGUAAGAUAUGCUUUAAAAAUAAUAAAUACUAAGGUUACUAUCGUUUCACUAUUUCAUAAAUUAUAAGGUAUUAAAUAACUAUAAGAAAUAUUGUAAUAUAUUAUUUUAUUUUAUUAUAUAUUAUUUUAUUUUAUUAGUAUACUUUAUAAAACCUUCUAUUUUUUUAUAUUUUUAUUAACAAAGUUAGUGUUGAUGCGAGAUUCUGGUUCUCCUCGUUCUACGACCAGGGUCUCUGCUCGAUCAACUUCACCACGACCAGGAUCUCUCCUCGUAAAGCUUCUUCUCCAGAGGUUCAUGCGCACACAGACAGGUCAAAGUACGCCGGUUGUUUUUCCGGCGCAAACCCUCCGACGCUCAAGUCAGAUAUGAAGGUUCGGGGAACGCUUGCCACAAAUCUUAUGGCUGUUAGGUUGUUUUCUCUCUUUUCUUAGUUCAAAUAGCAAAAAGUCUAACCCUUUUACCUUCGUUGGCUACUUUUUUAUAGGCUUCCUCUGAGUCCCGGUCUUCCGCAGUUUACGCCCGUUGUUCUCUCCACGCUCGGAUGUGGAUGUCCCAUUAUCUUCAUGAUGGGCGAAUGGAGAUGAACCUCGUGCCUUGAUUCUCGGAUAGGAAGGCACGUCUCGCCAACUGCCGUUGACCGGGUCUCCUCGCCUCGAACCCUAGCAAGAGUAACCGUAUGCCUCUAGCAAGGGUUCCGCCUCGCGAAUGGCAUAUUCGUGGACGAGCAGAAUAUUCCUGCUCCUUUUCCCUUGCUACCUGGCUCUUACAGGAGACACCUGCUCGCAGAAUUCUGCCACCAAACAUCUAAUCAUCACGUCUGGUCUCACCGAAGUAUUUCCCUCAAACACCGGUCCCCCAGUUUCUGGUGUUGGGUAAUGUAAUGGACCAGCAGUAGAAACUUAGCAGUUCUUGGUCGCGCGGGACUGGAAAAGGCCUCGAGGAGGAGCUGACCAAGGUCAAGGAGGAUCUUCAAAGGCAGAAGGCUAUGUACGAGGCUCAGCUCGAAUCCCUCCGCGACUCCCAUCGGGUUCUGGUCGAGAACUUGGAAAAGGAGGCUGACGACCAGUACGACCAGGGACUUCGGCGUUCCUAUCGCUGCAUCAUGGCCGUCCUCGGGAAGCAGCAUCCUGAUCUCAAGAUGGACGACCUUACAGCCGGUGUCGCCGAACAUAUGGACGAGGAGGCUGCAAAGGAGGAUGCCGAAGGGUUGGAGCCUAUCAUAGUUGAGGAAAACUCCCCUCCUCGUGCCACUCCUGUUGAUGUGGGUGAGGCGAGCACCCCCCCGGACGCGACUGGUGAUACUCCCCCAGGGCCUGAGGUGGACCAACCGACUGAGGCUGCUCGGCUUACGGACCCACCGUCCUCUUAGUCUAUUUCUUGUAUUGUAAUGAACAACGUUUGGAAAUUAUCUGCUUUGUUAAUUACUAACAAAUUAAUACAAAUGUUUUUUAUUCACUUUCCUGCGUUGUAAUCAUGAGUUAUUUUUCCUUUCGAGAAUCUGCUCGUCUGCGUCAGGUCGAGCAGGUUCUGUCUUGGCAUAUGGUUUUGCCACAUGCCUUAGAAAAGUCUUCAGUGGUUGGGAUUCUGCUCGCUUUCUCCCAGUCGAGCAAACCCUGGCACGCUUGGCUUCUGGUCUCGCCAUAAACAGGCUUUGAGACUUGGCGAGCCUUCGCAUGCCCUACAAAAUAUUCCGAUGCUUGGGGAUUCUGCUCGCCUUCGCCGGGUCGAGCAGAUCCUGGCACGCGUGGCUUCUGUCUCGCCAUAAAUCAGGCUUUGAGACUUGGUGAGCCUUUACAUGCCUUAGAAAUUUAUCUCGAAUGCUUUCGAGUUUGCUGGCCUUCGCGUGGUCGAGCAGAUCCUGGCACGCUUGGCUUCUGUCUCGCCAUAACACAGGCUUUGAGACUUGGUGAGCCUUUGCAUGCCUUGGAGGAUAUCUCGAAUGCUUUGGAGUCUGCUCGCCUUCGCGUGGUCGAGCAGAUCCUGGCACGCUUGGCUUCUGUCUCGCCAUAACACAGGCUUUGAGACUUGGUGAGCCUUUGCAUGCCUUGGAGGAUAUCUCGAAUGCUUUGGAGUCUGCUCGCCUUCGCGUGGUCGAGCAGAUCCUGGCACGCUUGGCUUCUGUCUCGCCAUAACAUAGGCUUUGAGACUUGGUGAGCCUUUGCAUGGCUUGGAGGAUAUCUCGAAUGCUUUGGAGUCUGCUCGCCUUCGCGUGGUCGAGCAGAUCCUGGCACGCUUGGCUUCUGUCUCGCCAUAACACAGGCUUUGAGACUUGGCGAGCCUUUGCAUGCCUUGGAGGAUAUCUCGAAUGCUUUAGAGUCUGUUCGCCUUCGCGUGGUCGAGCAGAUCCUGGCACGCUUGGCUUCUGUCUCGCCAUAACACAGGCUUUGAGACUUGGUGAGCCUUUGCAUGCCUUAGAUGAUUUCUUCAAAGCUUGGGAUUCUGCUAGCCUUCUCGUGGCCGAGCAGAUCCUGGCAUGCUUGGCUUCUGUCUCGCCAUAAACAGGCUUUGAGACUUGGCGAGCCUUUGCAUGCCUUAGGUAAUUUCUUCACAGCUGGGGAUUCUGCUAGCCUUCUCGUGGCCGAGCAGAUCUUGGCAUGCUUGGCUUUUGUCUCGCCAUAAACAGGCUUUGAGACUUGACGAGCCUUUGCAUGCCUUAGAUGAUUUCUUCAAAGCUUGGGAUUCUGCUAGCCUUCUCGUGGCUGAGCAGAUCCUAGCAUGCUUGGCUUCUGUCUCGCCAUAAACAGGCUUUGAGACUUGGCGAGCCUUUGCAUGCCUUAGGUAAUUUCUUCACAGCUGGGGAUUCUGCUAGCCUUCUCGUGGCCGAGCAGAUCCUGGCAUGCUUGGCUUCUGUCUCGCCAUAAACAGGCUUUGAGACUUGACGAGUCUUUGCAUGCCUUAGAUGAUUUCUUCAAAGCUUGGGAUUCUGCUAGCCUUCUCGUGGCCGAGCAGAUCCUGGCAUGCUUGGCUUCUGUCUCGCCAUAAACAGGCUUUGAGACUUGGCGAGCCUUUGCAUGCCUUAGGUAAUUUCUUCACAGUUGGGGAUUCUGCUAGCCUUCUCGUGGCCGAGCAGAUCCUGGCAUGCUUGACUUCUGUCUCGCCAUAAACAGGCUUUGAGACUUGACGAGCCUUUGCAUGCCUUUGAUUAUUUCUUCAAAGCUUGGGAUUCUGCUAGCCUUCUCGUGGCCGAGCAGAUCCUGGCAUGCUUGGCUUCUGUCUCGCCAUAAACAGGCUUUGAGACUUGGCGAGCCUUUGCAUGCCUUAGUGACUUCUUCGAUGCUUGGGGAUUCUGCUCGCCUUCACGUGGCCGAGCAGAUCCUGGCAUGCUUGGCUUCUGUCUCGCCAUAAACAGGCUUUGAGACUUGGCGAGCCUUUGCAUGCCUUAGUGACUUCUUCGAUGCUUGGGGAUUCUGCUCGCCUUCACGUGGCCGAGCAGAACCUGGCAUGCUUGGCUUCUGUCUCGCCAUAAACAGGCUUUGAGACUUGGCGAGCCUUUGCAUGCCUUAGAUGAUUUUUUCGGUUCCCAGUGACUGAAUUUCCUCGACAUUCUAUCAAAUGCAGGAUUCAACUUACAUGGAAUUGUUUUUUCAUAAAAUAUAAAAAUAAAAGAUAAAGAGCACGAGCAGAAAUUGCUUUAAAAUGUGAACAAGUCUUACUGGAAGUAUUUUCGGAGGUGUGCUGCAUUCCAUGGGCGUUUCACCUCGUGGCCGUCCGUGCGAACCAGCUUGUAAGCUCCGGGUCCCACCAUCUGCUUGACUCUAUAUGGCCCUUCUAGUUUUCUACUCGGGUAUCGAGGGUUAUUAUCUGCAUUGCUUCCCUUUGUGCCGAGGAGUAGCAGCUUCUUGCGAUCCUCUGGUCUCCUCGUACCACUCCAACUACCCCAUUCACCCGGUACUUCAGAGCCAGAUAAGGGUUGGACAGCACUGUUUCCUCUGCAUUCGUCACCCCGUCGUCCUCGUCAAAAAUCUGCCUUGCCGGGGACUGCUCUUCCUCUCUAUGGAAUUCUCCCCGCAGGGGUAUGUUACCUCUCUCACCACCAAGUCUCCCGAUGGUUUGACUUCUCCUCGUGCUACCGGGAUCUGGUGCCACUCCACCUCCUCUCACCCUUUCCUCCUGGGUUACCCUUCGUUCGCUCCGCAACUCAUGCAGAAUGGUUGUCAAGGACUUCAUCUGCUUUUGCAUCCGUUCCAUCCGGUCGAACAUGGCUUUUUCCCGUGCUUCACCGGCUAUCUCCCUCAGUGUCACGGAAUCGUUAAGCCUCAUAUCACCCCCUUAUGCACUACUUCCUCCUGCCCCCAUUGCUUUUCAGUUACUUCCUCUCACUUCUUGCUAUCAACAGAAGCUUUUUGCUCAGCUCCCCACAGACGGCGCCAAAAUGUUGAUGCGAGAUUCUGGUUCUCCUCGUUCUACGACCAGGGUCUCUGCUCGAUCAACUUCACCACGACCAGGAUCUCUCCUCGUAAAGCUUCUUCUCCAGAGGUUCCUGCGCACACAGACAUGUCAGAGUACGCCGGUUGUUUUCCCAGCGCAAACCCUCCGACGCUCAAGUCAGAUAUGAAGGUUCGGGGAACGCUUGCCACAAAUCUUAUGGCUGUUAGGUUGUUUUCUCUCUUUUCUUAGUUCAAAUAGCAAAAAGUCUAACCCUUUUACCUUCGUUGGCUACAUUUUUAUAGGCUUCCUCUGAAUUCCGGUCUUCCGUAGUCCACGCCCAUUAUUCUGCCCACCCUCGGAUGUGGAUGCCUCAAUGUCGUCAUUGUGGGCGAAUGGAGAUGGACUUCGUGCCUUGAUUCUCGGAUAGGAACGCACGUCCUGCCAACUGACGUUGACUGGGUCUCCUCGCCUCGACCCCUAGCAGGAGUUUGUCCUUGUGAAUGGCAUAUUCGUGGACGAGCAAAAUAUUCCUGCUCCUUUUCCCUUGCUACCUGGCUCUUACAGGAGACACCUCCUCGCAGAAUUCUGCCACCAAACAUCUGCUCAUCACGUCUGGUCUCACCGAAGUAUUUCCCUCAAACAGUUAGUCCUCUAUUGUUACUAGUUGAAGCAUGGGAGCUAGCGAAGCUAAUUCUAUGAGUGGGUAAAAAUGAGUUCACAUAGGAGACCACGAUAAAAUUGUAUAAGCUACUUAAUCGUUAAUUAUUGAAUAAAUUUCGCCAAGAAGUUUUAUUUGUUGAGAAUAAUUUGUGUGGGGCUGUCCCACUACUUUAUUGAUGAAGCGGUCAUAGCGAAAGCGGAAAUUGAUAAGGUAGGAAAAUCAAAUAUCGUUCUAGUAUUGGACCAAGCUAACGCAAUCAGAUUAGGCUCUAAUUGAAGCAUGAUUAGAUCUCGUUAUAAUCCAAAAGAUUUAAUGAGAUUUUUAAUAACGCAUAAAGCAAGAAUAGAUGAUGCUCUAAUUUAAACAACUCUACAAGAGAUAUUUUGAUAGAUAAUUCCAAAGAAAAUUACAAAAGGAGAAUUUUAUUGAAUAAUUGAAUCUGAGUUAUGAAAACAAUAACAAGAUAGAGUAAACUCACUUCCAUAAGUUAACUUAAAAAUGGAAACUAAAUCACAAUUAUAAUAUAAAUAAAAGAUCAAAAACAUAUCAUAAUAGACUCCAAUUAAAAUAGAAAGUCCUAAACUAAUAAAAGUUCUAAAAUCCUAAAAUACCUAAAAUAACAUCAUAUAUCAUUCUCCCCCUCUUAAAAGAAACUCAUUCUCGAGUUUGAAUAUAGUCUGGAGAAUGAUACUUGUAGUAUAAGACCAAAUCAUCUUGUAAUUCGAACUUAUUGUCUUUCUCAUCAAUUUUUCUCGAAACUUUAAAGAAGUCAUAUUUCAUCAAUUUCCUUUGCUUGUACAAUCUUCGUGGUGAUGAAGACUUCCAAGAACAAACAAUGAUCAAAUAAAUCUUUCCCUUCCCUAAUCGUUGCUCAAUGCAUUCCCCAACAAGUUUAAUUGGCAAGAAUGACUCUUAUACUAAUUAAUGGAGUGGUCGUAACAGAAACAGAAAUUAAUAGGACAGAAAAUCAGAUAUCAUUCUAAUAUUAGAUCAAGACAACGCGAUUAUAUUACUCUUUAAUUGAAGUAUAAUUAAAUCUCAUUUUAAUUCAAACGACUUAAUAAAAGUUUUAAUAAUUCAAAAAGUGAGAUUAGAUGACGCUCUAAUCCAAACAAUUAUACAAGAGAGAUUCUUAUAGACAAUCCUAGAGGAAAUUAUAAAAGAAGAAUUUUAUUGAAUAAUUGCAUCUGAGUUAUGAAAACAAUAUUAAGACAAAGUAAACCUACUUCUCUAAGUUAACUUAGAAACGGAAAAUAAAUCACAAUUAUAAUAGAAAUAAAGAAGAGAUACGUACCAUAAUAGACUCCAAUUAAAAUAAAAAGUUCUAAAAUAAUAAAAGUUCUAGAAUCCUGAAAUUGCUAAAGUAACGUCUUACAUCAUUUAUCAUGAUAACUUGCUAAGGUGGUGAGAGCAGUAAACUAGUGUUUUGUCACAUGACAAAGUAAUGGUUCUACUAUGAAAUCUAUAAACUUUUUUAAUAUUAAAUUCAAUGGUUCCCAAGGUAGAAUUAACUAAUGCCUAAUUUAGGAUCGACUACUAUGUCGCAUGGCAGAGUCCUAAUAGGACAAUUCUACACAAAUUUUUCUUUUAUUUGUGAUACUAAGUAAGAUAUUCCACAUUCUAAAAGAGAUGUCGUGUUAUUAAUUUUUCAUCAAUUUAAUUUGUUUUGCAUUUCGUACUUUUCUUUAGACAUAUACUUAUCCCACUGUAACAAAUUGAACUUAACAGUACUUUUGACUAUGUAUAAACAAUUGAUUUUUUAAAAUAUAAUUUGAAGAAAAGAAGUCAUAAAUCAAAUUUGAUUCAUUGAAUUGUGAGAGCUUUUUUGGAUUCUUGACCAUCGAUCAUAACUUAUAUGUGGCUGCCCCAUUUGAACUGUUACAAAUGCUGUUGUAACUUAAUUAAAGUUUCAUGAUGGAGUAAAGAACAUGUAUAGUAUAAGGCAAGGAAUAAUAAGGAAUGAAUCUUCAUAUAUAUUAUUUAAUUGUUGGAUGGUCAAGCUAUAAUUUUUAAAUGGGUUAUUAUCUUUUUAUUAUGUCAAGUAUUGUAAAAUAACAUACCACUACACAAAAUAUUGAAAGGCAAAUUUUAACUACAUUAACAUUUUAAAAGUAAUAGUUUACUACAUUUCCAUCCGCCAUUAGUCUAUUGAUGAUGUCGCAUUGACUUCAUAUGGGCAAAAUUGUAUAUUCAUCAAAUGAAACCCAAAUAUUUGUAAUUAAGUCUCACAGUUAUCAUUUUUUUACUAUGACAAGAAUUACAAAAUAACAAAUUACUACAUGGAUAAAAGGUAACACUUCACUACAUUAACUUUUAAAAAUAAUAGUUUAUUACAUUUCUAUCAAUUUACAAUUAAUUAUGCAACAAAUCAAUUGUAGAGGCAAUAUUUUUAUUCAACUAAAAUUAUAUAUUUAAGCGGCAAUGAAAUGUUGUUUUGCACUAAGAGGAAGGCAAAAUUGUAAAUUCACAUGGCAUUACUUUAACAUUUUUUUAAAGAGUUAUACAUUAAUGGUAAAAUUGAUAUUUUAACAUAUUAACUAUAGAAGUGAUAGAAAUGUAGUACACUAUAAUUUUUUAAAAAGUUCAUGAAAUGAAGUCUUAUCUCUCAAUAAUUUAUAUAGUGAUUUGUUAUUUCGCGAUAUUUGAUGUAUUGAAAAAGGGAUCUACCUAUAUUACAACAGUUACACCAUGCCAUAAUUUUUUUAUUUAUUUGGCAAAGCUAUUGGAUGAUUUAUUGUUCAAUCUAAUCGGCUGAAAAUAAUUUUUUGAAAAAUCAAACAGCCUGCUUUACGGUUUAGGCAGUUGCUUUCAUAUAGGUAAGAAUUGACGGACAUGGAUACUUGAGGCAACUAUAGACCGAAAUUGGUAUAAAGAAGAUCACAAACAUCAUCUAAUUGAAACUGAAAGAGUGAAAGUGAUUCCGACAUCAAUUUCACUUCUUGAGGCAGCAUAGUAGACGAAAAUUAGUACAAAAAAAAUUGUAAAAUUAAUUCAAGAAUUCCGAUCAUAAAUAAGAAAAUGGCCUGUCACGUGCAGGCAAAUUUUUAUGCUAUUUGGAUGAGUGAUUCAGUUUGAGUUGUUUUUCGGUGGCUUUAGUAGAGGAGUCAAAUUGAAAUUGAAGAGUUCAAACCAAAUUGGUUUUUGAUGAUUUAAUACCUGGAUGCGGCAGCAAAUGCUUCGCUAAAUAGUUUUUUUAUUUAUUAAUUAUGUGGGUUAGUAGACUUCAGUUGAAAAUUUAAUAAAUUUGUAUAAUAGUUUAAUUAUAUAUUUUUAUUUAAUUUUAAUGAAAAUUUAUAUUUAACUAUUUUCUACAUUAUAAUAUAAAAAAAACCACACUUCUAAUAUUUUUUAUAAUGUUAAUUAAUUACACUUUUAACUUGUAAUUUUUCUCAACCAAAUCGGUGAUGGUGAUUAAUUGACGGCGAACGAAACGAGCAGUCUACAAAAUUCUAAACUUGAGAACACUAAACUUGCCAUUAAUCGUUGGUGGUUGGUGUACUUGGCAAUAAUUUGGUGCCUGUUGGCCAUUGAUUGUUCAUGAAUUUGGUGCCUAGUGGCCAUUAAUUCACACAUCUCCAUGAUGGCAGCAAGACGAGAACCCUAAUUGUAUUAAACAGCCGCCUAAACCGUUAACCGGUGGCUAUUUGAUUUUAAAAAAAAAAAUUAUAUGCAGCUGUUAGAUUAAACAAAAGCAUGCAUCAGCUCUGCCAAAUACACAAAAAGUUUGUAGUAUACUACAACUGUUGUAACGUGGGUAGAUAAAAAAAAAAAUCUUUGUAAAUUAAAUUAAGAAUCACUCUGAUGUUUUCUUUUAUAUAAUUGUCUAUUGGACCCACUGACCCCACAAAGCAUUAGGGUUAAAACUAAGCGUGGGGAAACAAAGCCCCAUGCCCCCAUGUCAUAUUUGGUGAAAAAUAAGCCAACCCAAAAUUGAUUGACUGAAUGAAUAUUAAUUAAUGAGCAUGAUUGUCCUUAAUAAUCUCACUGAAUAGUAUUGUAAUGCUUCAGCAAUUUAAUUAAAGGUUCACAAAGAAGGAUCCUGCUAUGUUGACACAAAGGCAACAUACCACACUUCUUUGUCCAUUUGGGUUAAUUACACUGCAGUCCCUAUUUUAUUCUAAAAUUAGAAAACAAUUAGAUAAUCCUAAAUUUUGACUCAUUAGUCCUACUUAUUUUGAUUUUUUAAAACUUAAAUCAAAAGGUGAGGGUAUUUUUUAAUUAUUAAUUCACACACCCAUCAUCAAAGUUUUAAAAAGAAAAUUUACUCCAUACACUUACCUAAAUGUCAAAUAUAUCCUUGAUAAAACUAAUUUUUUAUUUGUACUAAAUAAAUUAAUUAAAAUGAUAUAAAAAAAACUGAUUGAAUUCUUUACAUGCCCAUUAGUUUCAUUUCUCUAUCUCCAGCAAUUAGCAACUAAUUUCUAUUACUAACUCAAAAUUAUCGAACAUGAGAUGUGAAAAAGAUUCUCAAAUAAGUGUGGAGCAUAAAAUGACUUUACCUCUAAAUUCUUAUUAAAAGCUUCUGAACUUAUAAAUCAAGCUCGUAGAUGUAAAAAUAAAUGACAAGCAAGUUGCCACCCCCCCCCCCCCCCCACUUUUUGAUGCCUUCUUAUUAAAUAAUAAAAAAUUAUAAAUUGGUAUAUUAAUAUAUUUUUAUUGCAUAUUGAAAUUAUUUCCUGAAUAUUGAAUAAGUAUUAUGAAAAAAAAGUUAACUACAAAUUAAGAACAAGAAAUCAAAUUCAUACUCAUAUUUAUCAUAAAAUAUGGUUCGUAAUUAAUACAUGGUUUUACUAUAUAUUAAAUUAAUUAAUAAGAAAUAAUAUUAAUUUAAAUAUAUUAAUUCAAAUACAAGAAUAAAUCAAUUUAUCAGUGAAAUUAACAAGUCAUUUGACACAAUAUAUUGUAUUACAUUAGUUGUAUUGUAUUACGGUAUAUUAAACUGUAAUACAAUAUCAUGUUUGCUGCAACAUAAACUGUAGUAUAUGUAAUAAUAUUUUAUAUCACUAUUUAGAUUACUAUUAAUUUUCAAUUAAUAUUAUUCAAAUUUAUUAAUAUUUAAAUAUUUAUCAUUUGUUAAUUAACUAUUUAAAAAUAAUUAAUUUUUAUUUACUAAUUAUUAUAUUAUAAUUAAAUAACACAAUAUAAUAUUUUUAUUUUUAUAUAUUAUUUAAGUAUUUAUUAUUAGUUAUAUUAAAUUGUUAAAUAAUAAUCAAUUCUAUGUAUUAAUUAAUAUAAUAUAAUUAAAUAAUGUAAUAUUAUGUUAUAAAUUUAUUUUUAUAUAAUAUUUAAGUAUUUAUUAUUAUUAGCUUAUUAGAUAAUAGUCAAUUUUUACUUAUUAAAUUUUAUAAUAUAAUUAAGUAAUACAUUAUUUAGUUGUAUUUUAAUUAAAAUGUUUUAAUAUUAUUGAAUAAUAAAUUGUAAGUUGUAUUUUAAUUAAAAUGUUUUAAUAUUAUUGAAUAAUAAAUUGUAAAUUUAUGGACCAAUAUAACUUUGUUACUUUUGUAAUUUUGUAGCAAACAUUAGGGAUUAUAAUGUUAAUAACUCAAAAUAAACAUCUUAGCCAUUGCACUUGUUUUGAGUUAAAUCUAACGGUGGAUUAGAAAAAGAAAAAAGAAUGUGGUAUGUUACCAUAGUGGUGACAUAGCUAGACCCCACAAAGAAAUAUAUUGAUUACAUAUUAUAAAUAAAACCGAAGCAAUGAGUCUUCAUGCAUAUUAAUUAAUUGUUAAUUGAAUGGUCAAGGUACAUUUGACUUCUGAAUUAAUUAAGAGUCAAUUUGAUGUUUUCCCGCAAAACAAAAUUAUAAUUGUCUAUUGGAUGAUGGUAUAAUUGCAUAUCAUUAAAAUUUUAUCAUUACAAUAGGAGAAUGAUACUCUACUUAAGAUAAAAUCUUAUAACAUAAGAAGGACUGAUUUAAGAACGAGAAAGACUAAGAGGGGAUGAUUGAUCACUUUUCCUUUUUGGAGAAUUAAUGAAACUAUAAGAACUCAUGGCAUACUCCCCCCUUAGUUUAUUGGGAUCAUACUUCAGUUGAUGAACCGAACGAAAUGGUAGUGGCCUUUGUGCAUGUAUAUGCAUUAAUUAAUUGUUAGUGACUUUAGAUAUUUUCUCCGAGUACUAUCAUCUAUGCAAUACCGAUUACAAGAGCAUAGCUGAACACAGAAGCGAAGGGUGGGGAAACAAAGUCCCGUGCAAGUCAUAUUUAGUAAAAAUGAAAAAAAGAUAGUGCAUAUAAAAUUUAUUAACUGAAUGAAUAUUAGAACAUUAAUCUUCUCCUUAAUAAUCUCAAUUACAGUUCAGUAAUCUCAAUAAUAUUUUUGUGAUGCUUGAUCGAGUAGUUAAAUGAAAGAGAGGUAAAGAUUCUCGAUAUAUGUUAUACAAUGGUUUGAUGGUCACUCAAGGUAUAGCUUUAAUCACUUUAAUUAAUUUUUGAGAAAUUCUCUCCCAACCACGAUAAGAAUGUUAAAAGUGAAUCUAACUACUACAAAUUUUUAAUAAUAUCUGAGAAUCACCUUAAUUUUUAGUUUUAUAUCAACUAUUUUUCUCUUAAUUAUAUUAAUCACUAUUAAAAAAUCAAAGAUUAAAGACUAUUUUGUUUUUGGAUUCUUUUAAGAAGGUAAAAUAAUAUUUUGGGAUUGCUAAUUGUAGUCUUUUAAUUUAAAUUAUUUAACUGUAGCUAAUGAAGUUAUCGCAAAAGUGAUUGGUUGAUAUAAAAUUAUAACUUGAGGUAAUUCUGAAAUAUUACCGGUGAUUACUAAUUGUACUUUUAAUAUAUUAAUAUUCUUGAUGUGAUUGGAAAAUAAUUUUUCUUAAUUCUUUACUGGACAAACUACGAAAAGCAUCAAGCAGCAAACCGCAGUACUUAAAAGAUCCAGGAUUAGUAAUUUGGUAUGCAUGCUGCAGUCUGUGCUGAAAACUCAAAUAUCAUCGCAGUCACAAAUUGACAUGGAUCCUAAAUUAUAUGAUGCUGCAGCUAAUGGUAACAGCAAAACUCCGCUCUAUAUUGCUGCGGCAAAUGGAUCUGUCGAGAUAGUAACUAAAAUUUUACAGAACUGCCCAUCACCUACUCGUGAAAGCCUCGAUGGGAAGACUGCCUUGCAUGCUGCAGUCUAUACAUAUCCUACAGGUUCGCUUAAACGACCACAAACACACACAUACACAUACAGUUAUUAUCAAGUGCGGACUUUCGCAAGAAAUUUUAUGGACAUAAAAAAUAGGAAAUAAAAAUGAGAUAGGAUUCGAUGUUUAGCUCGAUCCGUGAUGAGCACCGAUUGAGAUUUAUUUAAUAUGUGUCGUAGUUAGGUUCCAAUCAUUACAAACUCAAUUGAGCAUGUUAGACAAUCACCACGAUCCCCUCACCUUAUUUUUGGUCUUUUUUGAGAUCAAGCCUCUCCAAGUAUCCCUAGAUCUCCACCCGCGUUUGAAAGUACACUCUUUAGUCUAUACAAGUGUCAGCAUAGCCGUCUGACUGAAAAAAAAAAGUGUCAGCACAGCAAAAGCAAAGGAUAUUGAAAAAAUGGACCAUCGACUGAGUAAUAAUGACGCCAAAUGCAAAAAGAGAAAAAUAUGAAAAAGAAAGAAAAGAUGUUCUUCUUCNNNNNNNNNNNNNNNNNNNNNNNNNNNNNNNNNNNNNNNNNNNNNNNNNNNNNNNNNNNNNNNNNNNNNNNNNNNNNNNNNNNNNNNNNNNNNNNNNNNNCUUUGCUACCUUACGUUUAACGUAAGAUACAACAUUUAUUACCUUACGUUUAACGUAAGGUACAACCUUUUCUAUUAGCGGUGGGCCUAAGUGGAGUCUUUUAGUCUUUCUUAUAAGACAAUUAACUAGUAGAGUUCAAAUAAAACUACACACAGUACUUUUUCCUUUUUUUUUCAUUUUUUUUGGACUUGAUCUUUUCGUGUUUACUGUUUAGCUUCUCCAAUAAUAUUAUUAUACCUAUCAUGUAAUUUAUAUAAUUUUCAGUAAUGUGAUUAAGAAGUUAAACAUGCAAUUUAUAUUAAUAAGUGACGCCAAAAAAUUUUCAAGUCCACAAUUUUUAUUAGCUUGUUUGAUUUAGAGUUUUUUCUACGCAUAUUGUCAUUGAUUUGAGACCCAAAUUGACUGUUAACAAAAUAAAAUAAUAAAUUGUUCACAUAUCUAAGUGGAAUAAGGAAGAAUUUUGAUAUUAAAUUCGUUUUUUUUAUAAAUGUGAUGGCUCAGUUUUUAGGUUUUAAUAAAAACUUAAUGUAAUGAAAGUAAAUUAUAAUAUAAAUUUUAAAAAAAUGUAUAAAUUAUUUAUAUGUUAAAUGAUUAGGUAUAUGAGAAAAUCUUAAUUUACAAAGAGUAUAUUAAAUAAAACAGAGAUAAAGUAUACAUUAUUUAAUUGUCAGAUGAUCACAGUGCAACUUAUUAUUUAACUGGAGUAAUAUACAAUUAUGAACUGUGUAUUAAAUUUUUUUAAAGAUAGAAUUAAAAUUGGGAUAAGUCCACUAUAGACUAUGAGUUAUUUUAAAGAUAAGAAAGGGGUUUAUCCAACCGUAGUUGAAAUAGGUUCCUCUGGUGCUUGAUUAGAUCUUAAUGUGUGAAAUUAUUUACGGUCAAUUUGAUAAUUCUAUAGCUUUUAAAAUGAUUUUUAUUAGCCGUACUGUAGAAAUAAUUAACUGUGAAGAGAAUAAAUUAAAUAUUUAGUAAAUUUUAUUUUUAAAAGUGUUAGUAAAAUUUGUAGUGUUUAAAGUUAUGUAUUAUUGUUAUACAUUGCUCUAACUUUAACUUGAGUCUUAUGAAUUAUCUUAUAAUUACUCUUAAACUUGAUAUAUUUUUGUAUUUAGAUCCAUGUGUCAGUAUAUUUUAAGCUAUUAUUGGUUCUUUAAUAGAAGACACAUUUUCCUAACAAAAAAAAAAAAAAACCAGUUCUGUCAUGAAAAAGGUCUGGUCUAAGGACUGUGGUAGACAGUGACUGGUGCAUAAGAUAAAAGGCCCCAAGUCCAGUUGUAAAGCGAAAAGCGAAGCCCAAUAGUGAAAGAAAGAAAUACUUGGGCUAAUUUUUUAAUUUCAGUUUGCUAUCUUAUAAUUACUGCUGACAGCAUUCCCUCUAGUUGAACAGCUAACCAAACAAGCCCACUAGCUUCUUUCCCACCACUUGUACUCAACAACUCAAAUAUCAUGAAUUCUGAUCUGUACAAGGCUGCAGCAAAGGGGGAAAUUGAACAGUUCGAAAAAUUGCCAAGAGGCGAACUUGGAAGCAUAGUGACUCACAAAGAGAAUACAAUCCUACAUGUCAACAUAAUUGCAGCCCAGACCCAAGAAGGAGAAAGUGUCUCAACCAAGUUCGUGGAACGGAUACUUGAAAUGUGUCCAUCAUUGCUACUACAAGUUAAUGCCAAAGGUGAUGCCCCACUCCAUGCUGCGGCCAAAUGCGGGCAUGCUGCUGUUGUGGAAGCUCUGAUUGAAUUUGCGAAAAAACAGCCCCAUCAAGAGCUAGAAAGUGGCGUGGGAAGUACAGCAAGGCAUAUGCUAGGGAUGAAAAAUGACGAAGAAGACACAGCGUUGCACGAGGCAGUGCAAAGUGGUCGUUUUGAUGUCGUGAAAAUUUUAUUGGGAGCAGACCCUGCUUUUCCGUAUUCUGCUAACGGUAGCGGUGAAACUCCACUUUACUUGGCAGCCGCGAGGGGACAUAAGAAGAUAUCAGCUGAAAUAUUAGAAAAAUGUCCGUUGGCGGCCCAUGAAGGCCCCAAUGGAAAGACUGCCCUUCAUGCAGCAGUCUGCAGUGGCUCUCGCGGUAUGGAUGCGCAUGCUUUCGUACAAAAUUUAAUACCAUAAUUGUUUUUUAAAUUGUUCGGUUUUUUAAUAAAUUUUUAAAGAUUAAAUAAUUUAUUCUAAUAAAAACAUAAAUUUUAACCUUUUAAUAACAGAGUUUGAAAACUUUUUAAAAUAUUUAAAUAUCUAAAAUAUUUUUUAUUUGUUUGACAAUUUAUUUUAUAACAUAAUUUUAAAAAAAUUAUUCAUUAAAAUAAUUUUAUAAUUUUAAUCAAUUUUUUAUUGGCAAUCAAAAAAUUAAAUUUUUUUUGAUAAAAAUUUUACUAACAGGAACUAUUCUUAAAUGGAUUUUAUUUUUAAAAUAAUAUCAAACAUAAGCUUAGUUGUUUAAUUUUCUUUUCUUUUUAGGUGUGAUGAAACUAUUACUUGACAGAAAGAAAAGUUUGACCAGAGAAAGAGACCAACACGGUUGGACUCCACUCCAUUACGCUGCGUAUAUUGGUCACGAUUGGACUACACUCCAUUACGCUGCGUAUAUUGAUCCCUUAGUCAUCUCAUUCCGUUUAUUAAAAGCUGAUAAAUCUGCUGCGUUGAUUGCUGACGAAGAUCGGAAGAUGACAGCUCUUCAUUUAGCAGCCGGCAAAGGGAAUGUUGGGAUAGUAAAACAAAUUAUCGACCAUUGUCCGGAAUGUUGUGAAUUGGUUGAUGACAGAGGAUGGAAUGUUCUUCACUUUGCUAUGGUUAGUUUUUAUAAAAGUGACUUGAAAGAUCUGGUGGACGAAAAUCCGGUAGUCAAGAAUCUAAUUUUUGAGAAGGAUGUGAAGGGGAACACUCCCUUCCAUGUGCUUGCUGCUGUCUGUCCGCAUCCAGGCAAUGCCGGCUAUGACAUUGUCCCUUGGAAAAUUGCUAAAGGUUAUUAUCAAGCUGUCAACAAGCAAAAUAUUAGUGUUGAACACAUAAAUCAUUAUGGAUUUCCUGAACUCAAGGUACUUAAUUCCUUUUUUUUUAACUCAUCAUUGUUAUAGUUUUUAUAUGGAUAUGAGCAAUGAAAUUAGAUUUUGAUUUAUGCUAAUUUUUUCUAGAUCUUUUGUAAAGGGUGUUUUUAUAACAAUUAUUUAUUUAGGAUUCAAUUAUAUGCAUUUGUUAUAUGAUACGUAAACAAAACAUUAUUGAUUCUGAUAUCAUAUAUGAAAUUAAUUUUCAGCAUAUUAAUUAAUAAAAUGUAUAGUCCAGCGCGUUGAUGUUGUUGCCAAGUCAUUUUUUCCUCCCUCUUCCCCCACUUUUUUUUUCUUUUUUAAACUUACUCUCUUCUUGUUACAUUUAUAAUUUGGCAAAUAUGAUUGCAGAAAGAAAUCAAAGAAUUGGCCAAAGCUGAUGGCAAUGGACAAUAUCCAGACGGUGUCAUCAAAAUGAACAAAGAAAAAGAAGAAAACGAAGUACAAGUAAUGCCUCUGAUUUAUCCGUUUUGGAAAUAUUUAGAUGAAAAUGUCAUUGGAAUGAAAGAAGCAUCACAGUCACAUUUGGUAGUGGCAGCACUCAUAGCAACAGUAACCUUUGCUGCGGCAUUCACCUUACCCGGUGGUUACAAGAGUGAGACUGAAGACGGCGCAAACAGGGGCACUGCAAUUCUCAGUAAAAACGCAGCUUUCCAAGCAUUUGUUAUAUCAGAC